AGAGUUUGAUCCUGGCUCAGGAUGAACGCUGGCGGCGUGCCUAACACAUGCAAGUCGAACGAGAAGCCUGAGAUGAAUACUUCGGUAGGAUUACUGGGUGGAAAGUGGCGAACGGGUGAGUAACACGUGGGUGACCUGCCCUGGAGAGGGGGAUAACCAUUCGAAAGGAUGGCUAAUACCGCAUAAUCCUAACUACAUGGGAAUGUAGAUGGGGAAAACUCCGGUGCUCUGGGAGGGGCCUGCGUCCGAUUAGCUAGUUGGUGGGGUAAAAGCCCACCAAGGCGACAAUCGGUAGCUGGUCUGAGAGGACGAUCAGCCACACGGGAACUGAGACACGGUCCCGACUCCUACGGGGGGCAGCAGUGAGGAAUAUUGCACAAUGGGGGCAACCCUGAUGCAGCAACGCCGCGUGGAGGAUGAAGGCCCUUGGGUCGUAAACUCCUUUUCUGGGGGAAGAGGAAGGACGGUACCCCAGGAAUAAGUCACGGCUAACUACGUGCCAGCAGCCGCGGUAAUACGUAGGUGGCAAGCGUUAUCCGGAAUUACUGGGCGUAAAGCGCACGCAGGCGGCUGUGCCAAGUCUGACGUGAAAGCUCCUGGCUUAACUGGGAGAGGUCGUUGGAAACUGGUCGGCUUGAGGUAAUGAGAGGGGUGUGGAAUUCCCGGUGUAGUGGUGGAAUGCGUAGAUAUCGGGAGGAACACCAGUGGCGAAAGCGGCACCCUGGCAUUGACCUGACGCUCAUGUGCGAAAGCGUGGGGAGCGAACGGGAUUAGAUACCCCGGUAGUCCACGCCGUAAACGAUGAACACUAGGUGUUGGUGGUGUUAAAGCCAUUUGUGCCGAAGCAAACGCGAUAAGUGUUCCGCCUGGGGAGUACGGCCGCAAGGCUAAAACUUAAAGGAAUUGACGG
rnacentral:rRNA from 1 species